CACCUCCAUACAGAUCGCCACACCCCCACCCCCACCCCCAUCUCCUUCCUAAUCUGCGAGAACCACCACCAUUGCCAAACUACUAUCAGAUCUGUUAGCCGAAACUUCUACUCUCUGCAACCACCACUGCCUUUUACCACUACCGGUACGAAGCCCUAGUGCACCGCCUUCACCUUCAGAUCUGGUCUCGGAAUCCGCGUCAAUUACACCAUCGUAGGGAAAGAUCUAGUGAUGUGCAACGGGAUUGGGAAGAAAAAGUGAUGCUAGAGCAUAUGCAGAAUCAUUUGCAGCAACAACAAUCCAACAUAAUGAAAUGUUAAGAAAAGAGUUGGAUGAUGUCAAAAAGCAAGUUAAAUCGUUUGAAACAAGUCAUUCAGAAUUAAAGCUGGAGCUAACAAAUGUUUGAAAGAUAAAGUCGAACUAGAGAACGAGAAGCAAGAAGGGCGGCUUGUUUCGAAGAAGGCCUGCUUCUCUAUUUCCUGAACCCUCUUGACAACUGUCGCCUGAUCAUAGCAGACCUCGAAAUCGGACUACCAUUACUACGAUGUGAACCGUUGCGAUUUGAGCCAUUAACUGUAGGCUGCACAGAGUUAUGUAUGUAUCUUCUUCUUCCUAAAACAAUUAGAUAUGAAAAUGUAAUUUUGAUUUAGGUGAUUUAGGGGUUGGUUGCAUUGAAAACGGAGAGAGAGAGAGAGAGAGAGAGAGAGAGAGAGAGAGAGA